rnacentral:lncRNA from 1 species
UACAGCCGCUAGAGCCGGACAGCCUGACUUCAGGCCCCACAUGGUAGAACGGGGAGAACUAGAGUGGUGGGCUAACCUCUGCUUCCACGGUCAAGUGUGCUGAAGACUGCUUACUGCUCUUGUAGAAGACCCAGGUUCAGUUCCCAGCACCCAGGGUCCCAAGCAUGGCUGGGCUGUGCUGGGCUGUGCUGGGCUGGGCUGGAGUUAGGCAGUGAGCUGUGCCUAGCAGACUAUUCUGUUGGAUAAAGAUCUGAACGGGAAAAGCCCAGUCCGGUCUCGUGUCCCUCAGCAACCUCUUCCUGGCAAGCACUUUCAAGACUCUGGGACCAAUGACUCUGAACUGAGUCUGAAGGCCAGGACAGACCACCCAGGUCCACAGCCAGAGCACCCCUACUGGGACUACAGCAACAAACAGGAAAUGAUCCUCAUUAAACUUGUCCCGCCCACUUUUAGCUAAAGGUAGAAGGUUCAUUCUUAGCAACAUCACAAGUUUGGGGCCAACCAGGUCUAUAUGAGAUGCCAACUCAAAAAACACAAGAAGAUCAAUACAUAGUUCUGGACCAGACAGGGCUAUAGAGAGAGAUCUUGUCUUAAAAUAACCAAACAAAACAAAGAAGAGCAAAAAUACUGAUACAAACGUGCUGUUCAAGCUGGAGCAGCCAAACCCAAGAGCCACGGGAAGAGAAAGGAAUAUCAGAAAGACACAGCAAACAUCCCUUCACGUCAUGGCUCGUCUGUGAGGCCUGGGAGGAGAUGCAAGUGGAGAAUGCCCCGGGCCUUGUUAGAGUGACCCUCGUCGUUUAGUAUUCCCAGCCAAAAAGGACAAAACUAUGAGAACAUGAGCUUUUCAACCAGAGAGAUCAGGAACUCUGCCUAGUAUGGAAAAAAAAAAGUCUUUGAAAACUCUAAAGCCUCCCGGAGCGGGACAUCAUGGGAGCGUCUUGAGGACAAAUGCGGAAACGGGCCAGGCGCUGAACUCGAUGGGUAGAGUGCUUGUCUGGCAGACACCAGCUCAAACGUCCCCGGCACCACACAGACAGGGUGUGAACACCUGCAAUCCCAGCACGCAGGAGGUGGCAGAUCAGAAGUUCAAAGUCACCCUGAGCAGGGUUCGAGGGACUGUGAUAGACUCUUCUCAAAAGGAGGGAGAGAGCGAACCUAACAAAUGAGACAGGAAUUCAUUAAACAGGGGGUGGGUACAGGCCAACUUGAAGCACAGAGCAGGGAAGGCUGUCAUCAGACCCUUGUCAAUCUUCUGCACUUUCUUUUCUCAAUGAGCCUGGAAAUCACUGGUUUCCCGCCAUCAGGUUCCAGGGAUCUCCUGUGGCCACCUAUCCAGUGCUGGGUUUAGAGAUGGGAACCAGAGCCAGGUUGCCAUGACUACAUAAAAGAACAGUAUCCACCUUACUGCAGCGUCUCUGGAACGUUUCCCUAAAGGAGCAUCAGUCUUCUGCAUCUACGCUUUGGUUAGUAAAGUGCUGGAAGGCCAUGUCGACUGUUGCAUGCUCCAAACCACAUGAUGUCCUCCGACCUCCAGGUCUGCCUCCUCAGCCUGCGUUUGGUCACCCUGGGGAGCUAAAAUCCCACGUCCUUCAAGUAUGAAGGCAAUCCAAACUCUGUAACGUCUACUGUAUAACUCAGAGCUGAUGGAGUCAGUC